GAAGCUGUUCAUCGUCUGCCUCGUCGUCUGUAUCGCCUGCGCCAUUGCCGCUCCACAGAAGAGACUGCUCAUUGACGACCUGGCCAACGAGACUGGAAAGAUCCUCAAGUGCCAGGGAAAGAUCACUGAGGAAAACUGCCGGGACUGCUGCAAGAACACAACGUGGUACGUGUCGGCCGAGGAGUCAGCUUGUGAGCUGGCCUGCAACAUCCUCCCCGACGCCGCUGACUACAUCACCACCACCCUCAUCCCAGGAGGACCCUUCUAAACGGGCGAUGGGUGACUGAAAGGGUGCUGGGCGGCUUGCUUCCCGAUUAUUUAUUGAAAGCUAGGAAUCGUAGGAAUCGACUCCGAACUCAAUUACUUACUUUCGAAAGAUGUGUUUUUUCCGGUGGUUACCUGGUUGGCUCCGAACAUCUUCAGAAUUUCGAAACACUACGGAGCAUCAACUUUUAUUUUUCGAAAAUAAAUUCUUUUUUAAAAAAAAGAAAGAGAAGAUUUUAGUGACUAAAGUAAUUAGUAACCAUUGGUUUACGUAAAAAGGAGUCGGAACUUUUCUUCCGUAGCAUUAAUCGUGGGAAUCGGUUCCGGAAUCGAUUUUUCGCCCAGCUCUACUGAAAGAAAGUAAAAGAUUCCCUCUUUUGAACAACGCGGUAGGGAGAAAGGAGUAGGAUUAGAAUGGGAAGGAAAGAGAGGGGGGGGGUAGAGAAAGGAAGAUGAAUUUGUAUUGAGGAGAAAAGAAUAAACUGUUGUUUUGUGGUUA